UACGUAUGUCGCAAGCGUUAUCCGGAUUUAUUGGGCGUAAAGCGCGUCUAGGCGGUUUGGUAAGUCUGAUGUGAAAAUGCGGGGCUCAACCCCGUAUUGCGUUGGAAACUGCUAAACUAGAGUACUGGAGAGGUGGGCGGAACUACAAGUGUAGAGGUGAAAUUCGUAGAUAUUUGUAGGAAUGCCGAUGGAGAAGUCAGCCCACUGGACAGAUACUGACGCUGAAGCGCAAAAGCGUGGGUAGCAAACAGG
rnacentral:rRNA from 1 species